GCGAUAGCUGGUUUCUCAAGAAAAGAAUUUUAGUUCAACCUAAAGUAAAUAAUAUACAUUAAAAUUAUUUUAUACUUUAGAGCAAUUCAAAUAAGGUACAGCCUAUUUGAUGAGGGAUACAACCCCUACUAACGGGUACAAUACUUAAAUUAUACCUUAAGUAGGCCUAAAAGCAGCCAUCUUUUAAAAAGCGUCAAAGCUUAGCAAUAUAAACACCAAUUUCUAAAUUUAAAUUCACCCCUUUUUUACUACUGAGAACUUCUAUAACAUUAUAGAAAUUUUUAUGCUAAAACUAGUAACAAGAGGUAACCCCCUCUCUAAGAUGUAAACAUAAACCAGGAUGAAUAAAUCACUGGUAAUUAACAAAUUUAAUUAAAAGUAAUAACUCACCUAGAAAACAUUACUUAACUUAUUGUUAACCUAACACAAGAACAUCCCAAGAAAGAUUAAAAGAAAAAGAAGGAACUCGGCAAAUAUUAACCCCGCCUGUUUACCAAAAACAUCACCUCUUGCUUCUAUAAGAGGCCAUGCCUGCCCAGUGACUCAUGUUUAACGGCCGCGGUAUCCUAACCGUGCAAAGGUAGCGUAAUCACUUGUCUUUUAAAUAAAGACUUGUAUGAAAGGCUUCACGAAGGUUGUACUGUCUCCUUUUUCUAAUCAGUAAACCUAAUCUCCCUGUGAAGAAGCGGGGAUAAUUAUAUAAGACGAGAAGACCCUAUGGAGCUUAAAACACAAUAACACUUAAUUAACCCCUUACUACUACGGUACCUACCAAUAUCUUAUGCUGAUUAUAUGUUUUCGGUUGGGGUGACCGCGGAGAACAAUUUAUCCUCCAUGAUGAAAGAGUAUAAACCUCUAAACAACAAGCCACAACUUUAAGUAUCAAAAAUUUGACAUAAAUGAUCCAAUACUUUGAUCAACGAACCAAGUUACCCUAGGGAUAACAGCGC
rnacentral:rRNA from 1 species